UGAGAUGAGAUCGCGCCAUUGCACUCCAGCCUGGACGACAGAGCGAGAUUUCAUCUCAAAAAAAAAAAAAAAAAAAACAAAAAAGGAUCCUCAGGGCUGCCAACCUUAUAGUAGAAGUUGAGGUGGUAGUGGAUUUCUCCUACACAA
rnacentral:snoRNA from 1 species